CACGGGGGUUGCGAGCGUUGUCCGGAAUUACUAGGCGUAAAGGGCAGGCAGGCGGAUCCAUAAGUUUAUCGUUUAAGGCGUCGGCUUAACCGGCGUAGGGCGGUAGAUACUGUGGAUCUGGAAUGCGGUUGGGGAAGACAGAAUUCCUGGUGUAGCGGUGGAAUGCGCAGAUAUCGGGAGGAAUACCGAAGGCGAAGGCAGUCUUCCAAGCCGUUAUUGACGCUCAACUGCGAAGGUGUGGGUAUCAAACAGGAUUAGAUACCCGCGUAGUCCCUGAG
rnacentral:rRNA from 1 species